AUUUAUAUAAAAGGUAUUUCAAUUUAAAUUAUUGCUUGGAAAUUAAAACAUUUUUAAUAUAAGUAAAGGUGAUUAAAAAUUAUAUUAACUAAUACCCUAAUAAAAGUACUGCAAAGGAAUAAAUUAAAAUAAAAAAAAGAAGGAAUUAAAAUUUGUACCUUUUGCAUCAUGGUUUAACUAGAUUUUUAUUUUAUAUUAAAAUUUCUCGAAAUCUAAUGAGCUAUUUUUACUCUGUCUAUUAGGAUUAAUAAAUUAGUUGUAGCAGAAACUUUUUAAGAAAUAAAAAUAGUAAUGAAAUUUUAUUCGUAUUAGAUGAUAGCUAGUUUUUCUAAAAGGCAUAUAAGUGCUAUAAAUUAAUUAAUAUUCUGCAAUUAAAAUGUUAAAUAUAUAAUUAAUUUAUUUAGGUUUUUGAGGAUAAGCUCGAAAAUUCUUUAUAUAUAAAUAUUUUUACUCUAUUUUAAAUUUAAGCUUGAAAAUAGCUAUAAUAAUGAUUUUGUUACAAUCCCAUUAAAAUAGAAAGAGGACAAUAAAUUUAUUUAAAUAUAAAAGAAAAAAACUUAAUAAUUUAUAUAAGCUAAAUAUAUGUUAAAAUGAGUAUUUAAUAAUUUUAUAAAUAAUUCUUAGAUAACUAGAUUUUAAGAUUAUAUUUUAUAUAUUGAUUUCAAAUUAUAAAAAGGAACUCGGCAAAGCAUAUUCCGCCUGUUUAGCAAAAACAUGGCUCCUUGUGAAAUAUAAAUAAGGAGUCGGGCCUGCCCAGUGAGUGUAUUUUCAACGGCCGCGGUACUCUGACCGUGCAAAGGUAGCAUAAUCAUUUGCCUUAUAAUUGAAGGCUAGUAUGAAUGGUUUGACGAGAAUAUAACUGUCUCUUUAUAAUUUCUUAGAAUUUUAUUUAAAGGUGAAGAAGCCUUUAUUAGAUUAAUAGACAAGAAGACCCUAUCGAGCUUUAAAAUAAAUAAUGGGCGAAUCUUAAUUAAUAAAUUUUAAAAAAUAAUCUGUUAUAAAUUUUAAUUGGGGCGAUUGGGGAACAACAAAAGCUUCCUUUAAUUUAGUGUAAAUAAUACAAAUAUUGAUCCAAAAUAUUUUGAUCAAAGAAAUUAGUUACCGUAGGGAUAACAGCAUUAUCUUUUUUGAGAGUUCAUAUCGAAAAAAAGGUUUGUGACCUCGAUGUUGGACCAGAAUAUCCUAAAGAUGCAGCAGUCUUUAAGGGUUGGUCUGUUCGACCAUUAAAAUUCUACGUGAUCUGAGUUCAGACCGGCGUGAGCCAGGUCAGUUUCUAUCUUUAAUUUAUAAAGUGAUCUUAGUACGAAAGGACCAGUUUAUUAUAAUUUAUAUAUUAAAAAUUGACAAAAUAUAAUUUUUUAUUAAAUUUCA
rnacentral:rRNA from 1 species